UCGGCCCAGACUCCUACGGGAGGCAGCAGUAGGGAAUCUUCCGCAAUGGACGAAAGUCUGACGGAGCAACGCCGCGUGAGUGAUGAAGGCUUUCGGGUCGUAAAACUCUGUUGUUAGGGAAGAACAAGUGCUAGUUGAAUAAGCUGGCACCUUGACGGUACCUAACCAGAAAGCCACGGCUAACUACGUGCCAGCAGCCGCGGUAAUACGUAGGUGGCAAGCGUUAUCCGGAAUUAUUGGGCGUAAAGCGCGCGCAGGUGGUUUCUUAAGUCUGAUGUGAAAGCCCACGGCUCAACCGUGGAGGGUCAUUGGAAACUGGGAGACUUGAGUGCAGAAGAGGAAAGUGGAAUUCCAUGUGUAGCGGUGAAAUGCGUAGAGAUAUGGAGGAACACCAGUGGCGAAGGCGACUU
rnacentral:rRNA from 1 species